rnacentral:sRNA from 1 species
CCACCGGGCGUGGGAGGCGUUGGGGCCUGCAAGCUGGGUCCGGGCAAGGGCUCUCGCAAGAAGAGGUAAGGCCCGUGGCGGUGUCCUGCCCUCUGCAGCGCGGGCGGCGGAGGAUCUCAGGGCCUGUCCCCACGUGGCCUCCCCAGGAGCCUGCCCCGCGAGGAGAGCGCCGGAGCUGCGCCGGGCGAGGGCCCUGAGGGCGUGGACGGGCGCGUGCGGGAGCUGAAGGACAGGCUGGAACUAGAGCUGCUGCGGCAGGGCGAGGAGCAGUACGAGUGCGUUCUGAAGCGCAAAGAGCAGCACGCGGCCGAGCAAAUCUCCAAAAUGAUGGAGCUGGCCAGAGAGAAACAGGCGGCAGAGCUGAAGGCCCUGAAGGAGACGUCGGAGAACGACACCAAAGAGAUGAAGAAAAAGCUGGAGACGAAGAGACUGGAGCGGAUCCAGGGCAUGACCAAAGUCACCGCAGACAAGAUGGCCCAGGAGAGGUUGAAGAGAGAGAUUAACAACUCCCACAUCCAGGAAGUAGUGCAGGUGAUCAAGCAGAUGACGGAGAACUUGGAGGGGCACCAGGAGAAGCUGGAGGAGAAGCAGGCGGCUUGCCUGGAACAGAUACGGGAGAUGGAAAAGCAGUUCCAGAAGGAGGCGCUGGCAGAGUACGAGGCCAGGAUGAAGGGUCUAGAGGCAGAGGUGAAGGAGUCGGUGAGGGCCUGCCUCAGGACCUGCUUUCCCUCUGAGGCCAAGGACAAGCCCGAAAGGGCCUGCGAGUGCCCCCCAGAGCUGUGUGAGCAGGACCCACUCGUAGCAAAGGCAGAUGCCCAGGAGAGCCGCCUCUGAUGCCCCCAUCCCACUGGGACAUUUAGCAAGGAGGUUCAGCCCCUUCUCUGGGAUGUGGGUCUAUUCCCCCAGGAAAAAGGAGCCCCAGCCUUCUGAGGCUGUGGGAACCUGUGGCUGCCUUGGAUGCUGCAGCCCCCUCCUCAACGGCCAGGCCAGAGUCUGAGACAGGACCCAGGCACCCUCACGGCAGGGCCUCUCUGGGGCCUAGAAGUCUUCUCAAGCUGACUUCCUACCUCCCCGCCCCCAUCUCUAGAUAAGUGUCAUAUAUUUGUUGAGGGCAAAAGACUAUGGACUGGGAGGAAGAAAGUGGGAUCCUGGCCCCACUCUGCCUUUCCUAUUGAGCAACCAGCUCUGGGCUCAGUUUCCUCACCUGGAGGGUUGGACCCACCCACCUCCACUCUAGCCCUGAACCGUCCUGCCCCAGGCUUCCAGGCCCCAUCAGGCCUGCCCUGAGUUGGCCUUGUCCACUGCUUGAGGCAGAGCCUGGCACUACCUCACAGCUCCCUGGGGACGGCCACUCCCUGGCUGAGGGCUCUCCCCCUCCCCUCUGCCUGUCGGGAACAAGAACGGGAGUCUGAAAUGGAAAAGCUGUCUUGGCCCUGCUUGGCUGAGUCACAAGGGGCAGUGGCCUCUUGGGUGCUGUUCCACCCUGAACCUGGCUCACCCCUCUUCCUAGGCCUGGGGGCAGGCAGUUCCCAGCAUGUACCCCUCUCAGGCUGCCUGCCUGACAAGGUCAGCAUCAUUUGCUCUCCUGAAUUUAUGAGGUUUAUUUAUUUUUCUCUUUCCUACUCCUAUUAAAGAACCUUGUCCCAGUGU